GCCUCUGUGGCGCAAUCGGUAGCGCGCUUGACUUCUACAACACUAGAAUGGGUGCAGAAGUUGCUAUCAAGAGGCUCUGGGUUCGAGUCCCAGUAGAGGCU